CAUGCAGUCGAGGGGUAACAUAGAAAAGCUUGCUUUUCUGAUGACGACCGGCGCACGGGUGCGUAACGCGUAUACAACCUACCUUUUAGCGGGGAAUAGCCCAGGGAAACUUGGAUUAAUGCCCCAUAGUAUAUAGACUUCUCCUGAAGUUUAUAUUAAACAUUUAUGGCUAUUAGAUGGGUAUGCGUCCUAUUAGUUAGUUGGUAAGGUAACGGCUUACCAAGGCAGCGAUAGGUAGGGGUCCUGAGAGGGAGAUCCCCCACACUGGUACUGAGACACGGACCAGACUCCUACGGGAGGCAGCAGUGAGGAAUAUUGGACAAUGGGCGAGAGCCUGAUCCAGCCAUGCCGCGUGCAGGAAGACUGCCCUAUGGGUUGUAAACUGCUUUUACAGAGGAAGAACCACCCCCACGUGUGGGGGUUUGACGGUACUCUGCGAAUAAGGAUCGGCUAACUCCGUGCCAGCAGCCGCGGUAAUACGGAGGAUCCAAGCGUUAUCCGGAAUCAUUGGGUUUAAAGGGUCCGUAGGCGGGCAGUUAAGUCAGUGGUGAAAGUCUUCCGCUCAACGGGAGAACUGCCAUUGAUACUGAUUGUCAUGAGUUAUUAUGAAGUGGUUAGAAUGAGUAGUGUAGCGGUGAAAUGCAUAGAUAUUACUCCAGAAUACCCGAUUGCGAAGGCAGAUCACUAAUAAUAUACUGACGCUGAUGGACGAAAGCGUAGGUAGCGAACAGGAUUAGAUACCCUGGUAGUCUACGCCGUAAACGAUGGUUACUAGCUGUUCGGCCCAAUUGAGGGCUGAGUGGUUAAGCGAAAGUGAUAAGUAACCCACCUGGGGAGUACGUUCGCAAGAAUGAAACUCAAAGGAAUUGACGGGGGCCCGCACAAGCGGUGGAGCAUGUGGUUUAAUUCGAUGAUACGCGAGGAACCUUACCAGGGCUUAAAUGUAGUCUGACAGGUCUGGAAACAGACUUUUCUUCGGACAGAUUACAAGGUGCUGCAUGGUUGUCGUCAGCUCGUGCCGUGAGGUGUCAGGUUAAGUCCUAUAACGAGCGCAACCCCUGUGGUUAGUUGCCAGCGAGUAAUGUCGGGAACUCUAGCCAGACUGCCGGUGCAAACCGCGAGGAAGGUGGGGAUGACGUCAAAUCAUCACGGCCCUUACGUCCUGGGCCACACACGUGCUACAAUGGUAGGGACAGAGAGCAGCCACUUCGCGAGAAGGAGCGAAUCUACAAACCCUAUCACAGUUCGGAUCGCAGUCUGCAACUCGACUGCGUGAAGCUGGAAUCGCUAGUAAUCGCAUAUCAGCCAUGAUGCGGUGAAUACGUUCCCGGGCCUUGUACACACCGCCCGUCAAGCCAUGGAAGCCGGGGGUACCUGAAGUCGGUCACCGCAAGUAGCC
rnacentral:rRNA from 1 species